GUUUGUGUAGCUUAACUAAGCAAAGCAAAGCACUGAAAAUGCUUAGAUGGACUUUUAAUCAGUUCCACAAGCA
rnacentral:tRNA from 1 species